rnacentral:rRNA from 1 species
GAUGAACGCUAGCGAUAGGCUUAACACAUGCAAGUCGAGGGGCAGCAUGGUCUUAGCUUGCUAAGACUGAUGGCGACCGGCGCACGGGCGCGUAACGCGUAUGCAACUUGCCUCACAGAGGGGGAUAACCCGUCGAAAGACGGACUAAUACCGCGUACACUUGGGAUAGGGCAUCCUGACCCAGGGAAAUGAAAUUCGCUGUGAGAUAGGCAUGCGUCCCAUUAGCUAGUUGGUGAGGUAACGGCUCACCAAGGCGACGAUGGGUAGGGGAACUGAGAGGUUGAACCCCCACACUGGUACUGAGACACGGACCAGACUCCUACGGGAGGCAGCAGUGAGGAAUAUUGGUCAAUGGGCGAGAGCCUGAACCAGCCAAGUCGCGUGAAGGAUGACUGUCUUAUGGAUUGUAAACUUCUUUUAUACGGGAAUAACAAGAGCCACGUGUGGCUCCCUGCAUGUACCGUAUGAAUAAGCAUCGGCUAACUCCGUG